rnacentral:rRNA from 1 species
UUGAACGCUGGCGGCAGGCCUAACACAUGCAAGUCGAAUGGUAACAGGAAACAGCUUGCUGUUUCGCUGACGAGUGGCGGACGGGUGAGUAAUGUCUGGGAAACUGCCUGAUGGAGGGGGAUAACUACUGGAAACGGUAGCUAAUACCGCAUAACGUCGCAAGACCAAAGAGGGGGACCUUCGGGCCUCUUGCCAUCAGAUGUGCCCAGAUGGGAUUAGCUAGUAGGUGGGGUAACGGCUCACCUAGGCGACGAUCCCUAGCUGGUCUGAGAGGAUGACCAGCCACACUGGAACUGAGACACGGUCCAGACUCCUACGGGAGGCAGCAGUGGGGAAUAUUGCACAAUGGGCGCAAGCCUGAUGCAGCCAUGCCGCGUGUAUGAAGAAGGCCUUCGGGUUGUAAAGUACUUUCAGCGGGGAGGAAGGGAGUAAAGUUAAUACCUUUGCUCAUUGACGUUACCCGCAGAAGAAGCACCGGCUAACUCCGU